UACGUAAGGUCCGAGCGUUGUCCGGAAUCAUUGGGCGUAAAGGGUACGUAGGCGGUUAGAAAAGUUAGAAGUGAAAGGCUAUAGCUCAACUAUAGUAAGCUUUUAAAACUGUUUAACUUGAGAGAUGGAAGGGAAAGUGGAAUUCCUAGUGUAGCGGUGAAAUGCGUAGAUAUUAGGAGGAAUACCAAUGGCGAAGGCAGCUUUCUGGCCAUAAACUGACGCUGAGGUACGAAAGCGUGGGUAGCAAACAGG
rnacentral:rRNA from 1 species